rnacentral:piRNA from 1 species
UGGAUCCACGUACCGGAAAUAAGAUGCA